UUCUGAAGUCAAGAGUCUCACUGAAUGUGAGGGACCUGCGGAUUCAUCCCCUGGGGCUCUCAUGUUUAUCCCAGACAGUUUCGUUUUAUAUUCUUGAGAAUCUCUUGUCAUUUUAACCCUGAGGCAAAGCACAGAGUUCAGGAAGCGUAAAAUAAGAAGCUCCACUGGAGCCAUUACUUGCAAGUGGAAGGAACAUCAAUCCACCAUCAACCAGCCAAGCACAGGAGUUCUCCGUAAGAUUUCUGACCAGGGAAUAAGAAGGAUAGUCAAAAGAGCCAAAGGCCACUUGGAAAGAACUCCAGAAAAACUUGGAGGCGGCAGGUACAAUCGUCACAAAGAAAACAAAUGGCAAUGCUCUCCAUACUCACCCACAGGGCUCUGUUACUGAAGAAAAGGCAUGUUGAAGCUCGUUUAAAGUUUGCUAUACAACAUUUGGAUAAGCCUAUGGAAAACUGAGAGAAUGUAUUCCGGUCAGACGAGACCAAGAUUGAACUUUUUGGCUGUCAUGCUACACACCAUGUUUAGAGGAGAAAUGGCACUGCACGUCACCUGAAAAACACUGUACCAACAGUGAAGUUUGGUGUUGGGAUCAUCAUGGUGUGGGGCUGGUUCAUAUCUCAUGGUACUGGCAGACUUUGUAUAAUUGAAGGAAGGAUGAAUGGGACCAUAUCCAGGGAGAUUCUUGAAAUAAAUCUGCUGCCAUCCACCAGGAUGAUGAGGGUGAGACAUGGGUGGACCUUCCAGCAGGACAACGAUCCCAAACAUACAGCAAAGGAAACUCUCAGUUGGUUUCAGAGAAUGAAAAUCGACUUGUUACACUGGCCCAGUCAGUCAGCUGACUUGAAUCCAGGUGAACAUUUGUGGAAGGAACUAAAGAUACAGGUUCACAAGAGGCCCCUCCUGGAAUCAUCAAGAUUUAAAGACAAUCUCUUUAGAAGGUUGGGUGAAAAUGACACCUGAGCAUUGCAGGUAAUUCGUUUCUUCAUACAGGAAGCAUCUGGAAACUAUCAUUAUAAAACAAAGGCUUCUCUGCUAUUAAAUUUCA